UACGUAGGGGGCAAGCGUUGUCCGGAUUUAUUGGGCGUAAAGAGCUCGUAGGCGGUCUGUCGCGUCGGCUGUGAAAACCCGGAGCUCAACUCCGGGCCUGCAGUCGAUACGGGCAGGCUGGAGUUCGGCAGGGGAGACUGGAAUUCCUGGUGUAGCGGUGAAAUGCGCAGAUAUCAGGAGGAACACCGGUGGCGAAGGCGGGUCUCUGGGCCGUAACUGACGCUGAGGAGCGAAAGCGUGGGGAGCGAACAGG
rnacentral:rRNA from 1 species